rnacentral:tRNA from 1 species
GGUUGAUUAGUUCAAUGGUAGAACAUGGUGUUCACUCCACCAUAACGAAGGUUCGAUUCCUUCAUUAACCU